rnacentral:hammerhead_ribozyme from 1 species
GUUCAGCUGACGAGUCCCAAAUAGGACGAAACGCGCGUCCCAGAU